CGCCCCGCCCCGCCCCGCCCCGCGGGACCGCGCCCCCCCGCCGCCGCCCCCGCCGCCGGCAGCGGGUGGUCCCCGGCCCCCGGAUUCGCCCCCCGGGAGUCUUGCGAGGCGCCGCUGACCGGCCGCUGUCUGCCGAGCCACUCCCCCGCCUCGGGCUCCGGCUGCGGCUGUCGGCGGCAGCCGCUCAGCGGCUGGGCGUCCCGCCUGCUGCGUUUGGAGUGGUCUCGGGAUGCUGCCCUAAUUGUGCUGCGCGUUUUAAUUCGGGUACCGAGGUGGGAAUGAGACUCUUGCCAGACGUAGGCAAUCCGAUACCCGUUUAUACAAGUGCCUUUGAUCCUCCUUAAUUACUGCUUAAUCCUGACCGGCUUUCCCUGGCUUUCAGCCGGUUUCAACAACGUGAGGGCCUCCAUUCUCUUCCCUUGGCAGCUCUUCGGAACCAGAGGUCCUGUCCGAGGUAGAUGACAUAAAAUCCCAGCAAACUACAUUAUCCAGAGCACAAGAAAAUUCAGGGAAACAUGAUGAGGCUGACUGAAGAUUGAUAUUUUCCAACAAAAAAUGAAACCUGAGCAAUACACAGAAGUGCAAUACUGCAGACAGAAGGCCCCAGAGAGACCCUAACAGGCUUGAGAAGUAGACUUGUGUGAAACUCAUGAAGUUCAACAAGGCCAAGUGCAAGGGUCCUGCACCUGGGUUUGGGCAACAUCGUGUAUCGGUACCGACUGGACAAUGAAUGGAUUGAGAGCAGCCCUGAAGAGAAGGACUUGGGGAUACUGGUUGUGAGAGACUGAAAGAGUUAACAUCUCAAACAUUGUGGUGGGGCAAGUUAUGCCUAACUACGAACUCUGCAUAACAAUGAACGCUGCACAGCACGGAACCCGAGGUGAAAAGAAGGCAUCAGCACAGAUCAGCACAGGAUGGGGAGGGUGUACCAGAGGCUAGCUCCCCAUUCUGAUAAUGCUGAGCAGGGCAGCUCACCAUGCAUGGCCAAAGAUCAAACAACAGUCACAUUCCUGCAGGGAAGGAGAAGUUACUCCCUAAACAACCCCCAAGCCCACGGAUCCAUUUCCCCGAAGAUUCUGGAAGCACAAACCGCACAUGACACCUAAUUAGCUGAAUGAGUUCGAGUGCCUGCCCGAAGGAGGGGCAAGGAUGAUAGAAGGGCAGAGACUGAAGCCCCACAUGCAUGCGCCCACUGGAACCGGACCCCUCAGCUGACCGGACCCCUUGGCUGACUGGACCAACACUGGACUCAGGACUGGGAGACAUCGUGACCACCGACUCGUUGACCACCUACUCAAAUGAGACCAGCUACUCAAAAGAUGACAAUGAAGGAAGAAGACAGAGUCUGCACACUAAUUUACACGAGAGGUGAAGAAGAAAGAACCAAUC